UACGGGGGGGGCAAGCGUUGUUCGGAAUUACUGGGCGUAAAGGGCUUGUAGGUGGCCAACUAAGUCAGACGUGAAAUCCCUCGGCUUAACCGGGGAACUGCGUCUGAUACUGGAUGGCUUGAGUUUGGGAGAGGGAUGCGGAAUUCCAGGUGUAGCGGUGAAAUGCGUAGAUAUCUGGAGGAACACCGGUGGCGAAGGCGGGUCUCUGGGCCGAUACUGACGCUGAGGAGCGAAAGCGUGGGGAGCGAACAGG
rnacentral:rRNA from 1 species